AGCAACUUAGCUGCUACCGGUCCGGUCCAGGCUACCUGCAGACCUCCUCCCAGACCUCAUUUUCAGCACCAACAGGAGAGGUGGUGGAAAUGAUCAGAGUUGCAUUCAACUUGAAUAAAGAUGAGAAACUCUGGUCUGUGGAGCCACUGGUCUGAGGGGAGGACUUCUGUUGAAACCAUUUCCAUUUUUGGGAUAUUUUCUAGGACUGUAGAGGUGGUAAGCAGAGAUUAAUUUAACUAGGAUACAGAUGAGAGUCUCUGUUCUUGGGAGGAGGGUCACUGACCUUCGAUGGUUUGUUGCCUGAUAAAGAGGAUACUUGCUGGCUUGAGGAGACUAUAAUGUUUUGAGGAGGAAAUGUGGCUCGAUGACUUAAAGAGGAGGAGGAAUUAUUGGGCGACACUUUUAAUUACCAACGUAACCUCAGUGGAACUUUGGCUUCAUUGAGUUCCAGCUCUAGGCAGACAGUACGUCAGGAAUGCUGUAAGACAUCACAGAGACAGGUAAGUAUCUAUAUAUUUACAUGUGUGUUGCAUGUACACUAAACCCUCACAUUUGGAUAAUGUCACUUUUUAAAGUGAUGACAUGUAUAUUAACAGUGUAAAACAUGAAUAGAUGUUUAAACAUUCUUUACCCCAUCCUAAUUUUCUUCCAGAUGCUUGGCUUUUUCUUUGUCUUUGUGUUGGAGAUUGGCUCUGAUGUUUCAGCCUCUUCUGGAGCUUCUAGCUGCUGGCUGUCUGGCCCCCCCUGAUGGUUCUCUGGCCCCUCCUGCUGGUUCUCUGAACUCCCCUCCUGGUUGUCUGCCCAUGCCUGUUGCCUCCUUGGCCUUUCCUGGUGGCCAUCAGCAGAUCCAGUGGGCUCUUGGCUUACUUGUUGGCCUGUGGCCCACCAGGGCAACUCCUGACCGUGGUUGUAAUCGUGGCUGUGUUGGGUGGUUAGACACCGGGUAUUGAUUUGAGCAUCAGCCUCCAGAUUCAUCUGAUCCAGGAGGGGGUAAGAAGACAGUCCCAGUAGGAGACGGAGAUCGUCCAGAAGAAGAAGAGCUGUCCAUCUCCUCAGAGACUGCAGGAAAGGUCUACAAGUUUUAUUUCUGGAAAAUAAAGAGAUGCUUUCGUUCAGCAACAA